rnacentral:hammerhead_ribozyme from 1 species
AUCCAGCUGACGAGUCCCAAAUAGGACGAAACGGGCGUCGUGGAU